rnacentral:rRNA from 1 species
UAUGAGAGUUUGAUCCUGGCUCAGGACGAACGCUGGCGGCGUGCCUAAUACAUGCAAGUCGAACGCUUCUUUUUCCACCGGAGCUUGCUCCACCGGAAAAAGAGGAGUGGCGAACGGGUGAGUAACACGUGGGUAACCUGCCCAUCAGAAGGGGAUAACACUUGGAAACAGGUGCUAAUACCGUAUAACAAUCAAAACCGCAUGGUUUUGAUUUGAAAGGCGCUUUCGGGUGUCGCUGAUGGAUGGACCCGCGGUGCAUUAGCUAGUUGGUGAGGUAACGGCUCACCAAGGCCACGAUGCAUAGCCGACCUGAGAGGGUGAUCGGCCACAUUGGGACUGAGACACGGCCCAAACUCCUACGGGAGGCAGCAGUAGGGAAUCUUCGGCAAUGGACGAAAGUCUGACCGAGCAACGCCGCGUGAGUGAAGAAGGUUUUCGGAUCGUAAAACUCUGUUGUUAGAGAAGAACAAGGAUGAGAGUAACUGUUCAUCCCUUGACGGUAUCUAACCAGAAAGCCACGGCUAACUACGUGCCAGCAGCCGCGGUAAUACGUAGGUGGCAAGCGUUGUCCGGAUUUAUUGGGCGUAAAGCGAGCGCAGGCGGUUUCUUGUUUUUAAAAAGCCAGUAGAAUAGAAAGGAUAAAAUAAUAAAUGAAACUGGGAGACUUGAGUGCAGAAGAGGAGAGUGGAAUUCCAUGUGUAGCGGUGAAAUGCGUAGAUAUAUGGAGGAACACCAGUGGCGAAGGCGGCUCUCUGGUCUGUAACUGACGCUGAGGCUCGAAAGCGUGGGGAGCAAACAGGAUUAGAUACCCUGGUAGUCCACGCCGUAAACGAUGAGUGCUAAGUGUUGGAGGGUUUCCGCCCUUCAGUGCUGCAGCUAACGCAUUAAGCACUCCGCCUGGGGAGUACGACCGCAAGGUUGAAACUCAAAGGAAUUGACGGGGGCCCGCACAAGCGGUGGAGCAUGUGGUUUAAUUCGAAGCAACGCGAAGAACCUUACCAGGUCUUGACAUCCUUUGACCACUCUAGAUGGCUAAACAAACUACUAUUACUUAUCGCGAUUUGACUAUCGAAAAAGAAAAGCUCGUGUCGUGAGAUGUUGGGUUAAGUCCCGCAACGAGCGCAACCCUUAUUGUUAGUUGCCAUCAUUCAGUUGGGCACUCUAGCAAGACUGCCGGUGACAAACCGGAGGAAGGUGGGGAUGACGUCAAAUCAUCAUGCCCCUUAUGACCUGGGCUACACACGUGCUACAAUGGGAAGUACAACGAGUUGCGAAGUCGCGAGGCUAAGCUAAUCUCUUAAAGCUUCUCUCAGUUCGGAUUGCAGGCUGCAACUCGCCUGCAUGAAGCCGGAAUCGCUAGUAAUCGCGGAUCAGCACGCCGCGGUGAAUACGUUCCCGGGCCUUGUACACACCGCCCGUCACACCACGAGAGGUUGUAACACCCGAAGUCGGUAUAAAUCAUCUAUCAAUCUGAUUGCCUAAGGUGGGAUAGAUGAUUGGGGUGAAGUCGUAACAAGGUAGCCGUAUCGGAAGGUGCGGCUGGAUCACCUCCUU